AUACGGAGGGUGCAAGCGUUGUCCGGAUUUAUUGGGUUUAAAGGGUGCGUAGGUGGUUUUUUAAGUCAGUGGUGAAAGCCUACAGCUUAACUGUAGAGGUGCCAUUGAAACUGGGGAACUUGAGUAUGGACGAGGUAGGCGGAAUUUGUGGUGUAGCGGUGAAAUGCAUAGAUACCACAAAGAACACCGAUAGCGAAGGCAGCUUACUAGGCCAUAACUGACACUGAGGCACGAAAGUGUGGGGAGCGAGCAGGAGUAGAAACCCCAGUAGUCC
rnacentral:rRNA from 1 species